rnacentral:rRNA from 1 species
ACACAGGUGCUGCAUGGCUGUCGUCAGCUCGUGUCGUGAGAUGUUGGGUUAAGUCCCGCAACGAGCGCAACCCUUGCCAUUAGUUGCUACAUUAGGGUGAUCACUCGAAUGGGACUGCGAGUGACAAAACGAAGGAAGGGGGGAAUGACAUUCCUCCCUCCCGUUCCUUAUGGGGGGGGCUACACCCUACAUAGAAUGGUUGGUGGGAGGGUUGCCCACCCGGGGGGGGGAGCUAAUCCCAUAAAGCCGUUCUUAGGACGGAUCUCUGUCUGCAACUCGCCUGAAUGAAGAAUGAAUCGU